rnacentral:lncRNA from 1 species
UACCAUUUGAUUUUUAUGGGGGGGGGGGCUAGGAUGAAAAAUUUUGUCCUGCAUUUUUUUUUAGCUGUAAUCUCUGUCCUGCCUUUUUAUUUUUCACUCUGUUCGGUCCUGCCUUUUUUUUUUUUUUAGUUUAUCCUGACUUUUUUUUACCUAAAUUGUCGUCCUGACUUUUGUUUUUUGCAAGAGUCUCAUCCUGCCUUUUUUUUUACUCAAAACUCCUGUCCUGCCUAUUUUUUCAAAUUUCAUCCUAGCCCCCCCCCCCCC